UUGGUCAAUACAAUAAAAGGAAGAAAAAAGGAUUUUGCUAACACAAAAAGAAAGAAAAACUGCAGAGGAGAAUUCGGUAGGGAGAAUGGAAGGGAAAAUGUGCAGAUUUUUUUUGGGAAAAAAUAAAAAGAAAAGACUGUCAGAAUAUCCGAUAACCAACCCUAAUCCCUUAUUUUUCUAAGAAAAAUAGUCCACCACACUCUCACUAUCUCUCAAACUGCCCAAAAAUCGUCCACCAC
rnacentral:lncRNA from 1 species